CCAAUAGCGUAUAUUAAAGUUGUUGCAGUUAAAAAGCUCGUAGUUGAAUUUCGGGGUUAGUAGGUUGGUCGUGCCACAGGUAUGUACUGGCCUUACUGAUUCCUCCUUCCUGAUGAACCGUAAUGCCAUUAAUUUGGUGUUGCGGGGAAACUGGACUGUUACUUUGAAAAAAUUAGAGUGUUUAAAGCAAGCUAACGCUUGAAUACAUUAGCAUGGAAUAAUGAAAUAGGACGUUCGAUCCUAUUUUGUUGGUUUCUAGGAUUGACGUAAUGAUUAAUAGGGAUAGUUGGGGGCAUUAGUAUUCAAUUGUCAGAGGUGAAAUUCUUGGAUUUAUUGAAGACUAACUACUGCGAAAGCAUUUGCCAAGGAUGUUUUCAUUAAUCAAGAACGAAAGUUAGGGGAUCGAAGACGAUCAGAUACCGUCGUAGUCUUAACCAUAAACUAUGCCGACUAGGGAUCGGAUGAUGUUAAUUUUUUAAUGACUCAUUCGGCGCCUUACG
rnacentral:rRNA from 1 species